GGACAUUCAGUGACCUGUUUUCAUGUCGACUUGGGAGGUAAAAACCUCAUAAAGACCGCGUUUUUCUGUGUUUUAUUGAGUAACAUCGCUACUAUCCCAGUGAGCUACCAUUGUUAUAACCUCCAACACUGUCAGGCACAUGAACCAGAGUUCUGAACUUCUGAGUGGACCCAACAAAAUGCCGGUUUCCCUUCGAGACAAACAUGGGCCAGGUGGUUUUCCUCGCUGUGGUGGAUAACGCAACAAUGUCAACAUUACCUAGUGUCCAGAAUUCCAGAUGGCCUUUGCUGUCUCCUUACCUGCUCAAUCUUGCUGUAAUUGAUACUCAAACUUCCAGCCUGUCGUAUCACAUCAAGUGUGUCAGCACAGUCAUGUUUGAGGAAUCUUCCUUUGAACAAAAAAUGGCAUUUCCACUUACAUGUAAGUUCAACUGUGAAGAGAGAUGAAGCAUUUUUAUGCUGUUGGAUCCGAAAUUCUAUUUCCUUGUUGCAUCGAUCAUAGAAAAGCAGUGCAUAUCAUCCUCUGGAAUGACUAAACAGUGCAUCAAACUUGUUCAGAAAAAAGACACGAAAAGCUACUUAUGGCCUGAGUAACACCAGCUAUGUUGAAACAUUUAGGUUAUGUCACCUUCAAUCCUGAAACAAACAGGCAAGAUGAUAUGCCACAAGUUCGAAAGAUCAUUGCCCAACUUGAAGCUUCUUCAAAUGCCCUGGAUUAAUAUCCAGUGGUAUCAACAUCUUGAUACAGACCCUCUCAUUAAACUUUCUCAGACUAUGUUAAAUCUUCAUACGCAAACUACAAAAAGGUAAACAGUAUAUGAUAGGACCAGGUGGGGUAACCUCCCCCCCUCUUCUCUCUCUCUCCCUCUCUCUACUGUUUCACUAUCCACUUUAUUUGCCUUUCUCUCCCCCUCUCAUACCUCAACUGAUACUUGUUCUAUCUGGUUAAGAUUUACAACCACAUGUUUUUAUCUAUUUGAAUUGGUUCUUCAAUUUACACUUGUGAAUUACUUGUACAGUCAGAUAAGGUAUUGUUUAACUGUAUACUCUCUCCAUUCAAUCUAUAUCUCUCUCUCUCUCUCCUUCUCUCUAUUUCUUCAGAUCUCUGUACUCAUUUUAACCUUUGAUAAAAUGAAUAUCUUUAAUUAAGCCUUAUUAAUGAUUUUUUGACAGAUUAAGCCAUUUCCCCAUUUAAUUGCUAUUUCUAAUUAAAUUGUGUGUUAUUGUUCUUUCCAUCUUUCUCUCAUUGGUCUUUCAUCCUUGGUAUCUCCAUCUCUCUCCACACCACCCCUGUCUCUCACACACAUACAUCCUCUUGUCAUUAUUGUAUCCUCUUUCUGUUUCAUCUGUUUUAUUUCAAUUAAAUAAAAACUUGGUUCAAAGGCCUUACAUUGUUUGAUUACGAACAUUAUACCAUAUAUAAUGGGCAUUAUGUUGAUGAUAGUUUGUAUUUAUGCUUAUCAGUUUUACCAGCUUUCUUGUGCAGCAAGCCUUGUAGUUUGGUUAUUUGCAUCGUCUUUUAUAGAAGGUGUAAAAUUAUUGUUCAUAUUCAAUUGUACUUGUAAUGAUUUUUAUUCUUGUUUACAUGUACUGUAGAUGCACAGUCAAACAAGUCCAUAGUGCAUUACAGUGGCAAAUUAAUUUAUGCAACCAUGUAACUCUAUGCAUGAAUUAACAGCUGUGGACUUCCAAAUUAUGAUCUUAUCUCAUGAUUUGAUUUUCAAGAAAAUUGAUCAGUCGUGCCAUUAUAUUGGUCCAGUCAUUGAAAGGACACUUGUGUCUUAUCUCCUUCUGCUUCUUGCUUUUUUUCUUCUAGAUUUUUUCCCCAUUUGAUGGGAGGAGAACACAGACCUCCUCCAUGAAGAAAGUGCAUGCCAUUUAAAUUGUGCAAUUGAUAUAGAAAAUAUAAUUAUAUUCAGGUUGUGCAAUGACGUACAUGUAAUUAUGCUCCUUGUCUUGGACUUGUAAAAGUGGAUUUGGAUGUAGGGCUAAACAAUAUUUUUCAUUUUCGGCUUUACGUAUGUUCUCGAGUUUUCAUCUGAUAACUGAUGAAUUUGGGGAGAUCGCUUAGGUGUAUCUGUCAAGAACCUUAUUUUCUUUCUUAAUAUUUCAUAAUGUAUAUUGCAUGAUGUAAUAAGUUUGUCAUUAACCUGAUGUUGAUUUUCAUAUAUUGACUAUUUUGUAAUACACUGUACAUCGAUUUGGGGGAUAACAGACUUUACCUUUUGUGUUUUAAAGUAGCUGUGUUUGCAUGUUAUAACCGUCUGAUUUCAUCAAAUUUCAUUGAAAGAGAGGUAUCCUUGAAGCAGUUUAUAAGUUACAGCUGCUUAAGAAUACUUGCUGCAUAAUGUAAUAAUCCAUUAGUGUAUGCAUCAUUGAAUCACCCAAGAUUUCAAUAUGGUGGAGGGAUGAAAAGUCUCUUGUAGUUUUGUUUUACAUCAAGUAGCAUUUUUAAAACUGAGUACUGAUAAGAUAGCUCCUAAUUGUUGGCUGUAGUUUGCCCAGUAAAAGUGGUGUCUGCUUUUAGGUGCUGUGUUUUGAUAUAAUUUAAGUAUGUGCCGGAGAAGUAAAUAAUGUAAAAAGCUAUAAUAAAGUUGUUUGAAAGAAGCAA